AUCGCUUCUCGGCCUUUUGGCUAAGAUCAAGUGUAGUAUCUGUUCGUAUCAGUUUAAAACUAUGAGUAAAACUAGCUUAAAAAUAUAAUAUGUUUAUUGAUGGUUAUUAGAAUGCUU
rnacentral:snRNA from 1 species